rnacentral:rRNA from 1 species
AGUGAACGCUGGCGGUAGGCCUAACACAUGCAAGUCGAACGGCAGCACAGUAAGAGCUUGCUCUUACGGGUUGCGAGUCGCGGACGGGAGAGGAAUACAUCGGAAUCUACUUUUUCGGGGGGGAUAACGUAGGGGAACUUACGCUAAUACCGCAUACGACCUUCGGGUGAAAGCAGGGGAGCUUCGGACCUUGCGCGGUUGAAUCGGCCGAUGUCGGAUUUGCUAGUGGGCGGGGUAAAGGCCCACUAAGGCGACGAUCGGUCUCUGGUGUGGGAGGAUGAUAAGCGACACUGGAAGUGAUACACGGUCAAUACUCCUACGGGAGGCAGCAGUGGGGAAUAUUGGACAAUGGGCGCAAGCAUGAUCCAGUCAUAGCGAGUGGGUGACGAAGGCCUUCGGGUUGUAAAGCCCUUCUGUUGGGAAAGAAAAGCAGCAGGUUAAUACCCCGCUGUUCUGACGGUACCUAAAGAAUAAGCACCGGCUAACUUCGUG